UACGUAGGGCGCAAGCGUUGUCCGGAAUUAUUGGGCGUAAAGAGCUCGUAGGCGGCUUGUCACGUCGGUUGUGAAAGUCCGGGGCUCAACCUCGGAUCGGCCGUGGCGACUCGUGGGCUGGAGCACUGUAGAGGCGGGUGGAAUUCCGGGUGUAGCGGUGGAAUGCGUAGAGAUCCGGAAGAACACCAGUGGCGAAGGCGGCCCGCUGGGCAGUGGCUGACGCUGAGGCGCGACAGCGUGGGGAGCAAACAGG
rnacentral:rRNA from 1 species